AAAGAAACUAACAAGGAUUCCCUUAGUAACUGCGAGUGAAGAGGGAAAAGCUCAAAUUUAAAAUCUGGCAGUAUUUUGCUGUCCGAGUUGUAACCUAGAGAAGUGUAACCUGCGCUGGACCGUGUAUAAGUCUCCUGGAAUGGAGCAUCACAGAGGGUGAGAAUCCCGUCUUUGACAUGGACCACCAGUGCAUUGUGGUUGUGCUCUCAACGAGUCGAGUUGUUUGGGAAUGCAGCUCUAAAUGGGUGGUAAAUUCCAUCUAAAGCUAAAUAUUGGCGAGAGACCGAUAGCGAACAAGUACCGUGAGGGAAAGAUGAAAAGAACUUUGGAAAGAGAGUUAAACAGUAUGUGAAAUUGUUGAAAGGGAAACGUUUGAAGUCAGUCGUGUUGGUUGGGGAUCAGCCUGACAUUGUUGGGUUUACUUCCUGGUCAACAGGCCAACAUCAGUUUUGACUGCCAGAAAAAGGCCAAAGGAAUGUGGCACCUUUGGGUGUGUUAUAGCCCUUGGUCGUAUAUGGUGGUUGGGACUGAGGAAAGCAGCGUGCCGAAAGGCCGGGUUCGACCACGU
rnacentral:rRNA from 1 species